rnacentral:misc_RNA from 1 species
GCAGCGUGCUAACGAUCCAUCCUGCUCAAUGUUGCACACAAACGAUAAUUGAAACAGUAAAAGGUUUUAAUCAAUGGGAAGGGAGAAAAAAUAAAAGAAGUAGAAUAAGAAAACCAUCAUGAUCUCCAAUCAUGCAAGUAGCUAGUAAUGACGAACAAAGACUGAGUUACUUUUUCCCCCUAAUAGACAAGACUGAAUUUAUCAAUUCACCAAUUUCUUUAUUCUAUGGUGAAAAAACAAGCAUCCUGCUGUUUUUGCUGAUGCAUUCUCUGUCUCAUAAAGUUUGAAUCAAGUAAUAAACACAUGAUACCAG